rnacentral:rRNA from 1 species
UUCUUAAUGGCUUGGAUGUGGGUGUUUGCCUUUGUUUAGGCUCGCCUUAAAACAGUUAGCAUGAUGAAAUAGUCAUCUGUCUGGCGUAAUAAGUUUCGCUGGACUGAUUAUGAAGCAUGCUUCUAAUAGCCUUUAUUGGCAACUUUCUAUGACUCUGACCUCAAAUCAGGUAGGGCUACCCGCUGAACUUAAGCAUAUCAAUAAGCGGAGGAAAAGAAACUAACAAGGAUUCCCCUAGUAACGGCGAGUGAACCGGGAAGAGCUCAAAUUUGAAAUCUGGCAUCCUAAGGGUGUCCGAGUUGUAAUCUAUAGAAGUGUUUUCUGUGUUGGACUGUGUCCAAGUCCCUUGGAACAGGGUAUCAAAGAGGGUGAUAAUCCCGUACUUGACACAACCACCAAUGCUAUGUGAUACACUUUCUACGAGUCGAGUUGUUUGGGAAUGCAGCUCAAAAUGGGUGGUAAAUUCCAUCUAAAGCUAAAUAUUGGCGAGAGACCGAUAGCGAACAAGUACCGUGAGGGAAAGAUGAAAAGCACUUUGGAAAGAGAGUUAAACAGUACGUGAAAUUGUUAAAAGGGAAACGAUUGAAGUCAGUCGUGUUCUUUGGAUUCAGCUGGUUCUGCCAGUCUACUUCCUUUGAACGGGUCAACAUCAGUUUUGUCCGGUGGAUAAGGGCAGGAGGAAAGUAGCACCCUCGGGUGUGUUAUAGCCUCUUGUCGCAUACACUGGGUGAGACUGAGGAAUGCAGCUCGCCUUUUGGCCGGGGUUCGCCCACGUACGAGCUAGGA